rnacentral:rRNA from 1 species
AACGAACGCUGGCGGCAGGCUUAACACAUGCAAGUCGAACGCACCGCAAGGUGAGUGGCAGACGGGUGAGUAACACGUGGGGAUCUGCCCAAUGGUACGGAAUAGCUCCGGGAAACUGGAAUUAAUGCCGUAUGAGCCCGCAAGGGGAAAGAUUUAUCGCCAUUGGAUGAACCCGCGUCGGAUUAGCUAGUUGGUGUGGUAAAGGCGCACCAAGGCGACGAUCCGUAGCUGGUCUGAGAGGAUGAUCAGCCACACUGGGACUGAGACACGGCCCAGACUCCUACGGGAGGCAGCAGUGGGGAAUAUUGGACAAUGGGCGCAAGCCUGAUCCAGCCAUGCCGCGUGGAUGAUGAAGGUCUUAGGAUUGUAAAAUCCUUUCACCGGUGAAGAUAAUGACUGUAGCCGGAGAAGAAGCCCCGGCUAACUUCGUGCCAGCAGCCGCCGUAAUAC